AAGCUGGGCUGGAGGUGACGGCAGAGCCACAGUGGCCACAGAGCCCCCACGUGAACCUACACGGAUCUGCCUGGUUUAGGUUCUGCUGAACUCCAGGGUGAGGAGGACCUGGUCUCCAUUCUCAAAGACAUGAAGAGGUUGACAAAGAAGAGUCACAGAAGUGACAAGUGUCCUGCUCCCAGCCCCGUUCACACACUCACCCAUCAAGUGUGGCAGGGACAGCCGCCUCUUACCAUCCACCUUGGGACCUGGACCUAAGUGGAGGUUUCUGGAGGGGCAGAUCCAGGGGAAAGGGUCUCCUCAGAAGCAGCCGCCAUUCAGAGGACCUGAGAUGAGAACCUCAUCACGCCCUCAUCAGACAGAGGAGAUCCGCGGUGUCUCCGAGCCUGGUCUCCCACUCCCCACCCAGCAGCGUUCCCUCCGCUCACCCCAAGCUUAGAACAUUCUGCUUCCCCUAAGAUCAGCUGCCGCAGUGGACUGAAUAGUGACCCCCAAAAGACAUGCCAGAGCCCUAGCCCUCGGACCUGUGAAUGUGACAGGAGUUGGAAUAGGGUCUUUGCAGAUGCAAUAAAGGAUCUCAAGAGGAGAGUAUCCUGGAUUUAGGGUGGGCUCUAAAUGCAAUGACAAGCAUCCUUACGAGACACAGAGACACAGAGAAAAGGCCAUGUGAAGACGGAGCAGGGAGUGGCGUGACGCAUCUACAUGCCCAGGAGCACCCGGGAGCCACCAGAAGCUGGGAGAGAGGCCUGGGCCGGAGCCUCCCGCAGAGGCCCCAAAGGAUCAGCCUGGUCGACACCUUGAUUUUGGACUUCUGGCCUCUAGAACCAUCUUCAGCCCCCAAAGUUCGUGGGGCUUUGUUGCAGCAGCCCCAGCAAACUGUCACGGGGGCCCUCCUCCCCUGCUAAGCCUGGUACCCAAAGCUCCCCAGCUAUCUGGGGCUAACCACACUGACCCUGGGACUUUCAGGUCACCCGUGUGUCCCACUCUUCUGCUUAACCUUCAGUGCCUGUGUGGUCACAGCUUCUCUCUCGUGAUAUGAGUCCUCUGGGCCUCUGAGUGCUCAUCUGCCC
ensembl:lncRNA novel transcript, antisense to SEPT9